UCCUGACUUCAGUGUUACAACAUAAUGACUUCAUAGAGGAAAUUCCGGGAAUUAAGAAUACUGCAUGUAAAUCAUUUGUCUCACGUAACUUUCAGUCCUCAGCCUUGCCAGAAGUUGCAGCAGGGAACCAGGUCUAAUUUGGACAUACGGCUGGGAGACGGAGUGCAGCCAAAUGACCAGCUCAGACCUUCCAAGUCCACCUGGCUUCAAAAUCCCCUGACUGUCAUGUGCAAAACCACUCAGAUUUGAUUACUGCAAUCUGUUCAAGCCAAGAAUAAUAUUCAAGAAUAUUGAAAUGAGUGCAGUGGAAGUAGGAAGUUAGAGCAAAGAAGAACUCCUGCAAAAAAUCAGAGUGCUGAAAUACUGAAAUAACUCUGAUAAAUUGAUAAAUCAAGUGUUAAUAGGAACAGAAUUAACAAUAGCACAAAGCUGGUAAUAUCAUGGAUGGGUAAGCCUAUGAAACAGAAACAGUGCAACAAGACAAAGGCAAAGAGAACAGGAAGUCCUAUCAAUAUUCCCUCUUCUACUCACCUUUUCAAGAGGGAACUCAAGAUGGCUCUGCAAUCUUGAACAGGCAGUGAGAGAUCUAUGUAAGAGCAGAAGCUGGCCUUUGCAGUGUUCCCACAAUAUACAGACCACUAAAACACCUAUCUGUGUUCAUCAUGGAGGAGACUGGAUUCAUUCACUGUGCUAAGCCAUUAUGUAGUUUGUUUGGUUUUAGAUUAGCAUCUUGUAGAAUCACAAUGAGCAUAUUUUCUUGGAAAAAAGAAAGGUCAAACCUGAAAAAGGGGC